rnacentral:lncRNA from 1 species
CCAAAGAUAGCUGCAAGGUGAAAAAGAGGCUCUACAUUUCCUUGGUUUUUUGGUGAAACUCACAAAUUUGUGGAGAUUGUCUUUGCUCCAGGGUUUUUCAUCUCUCUCUCUUUCUCUCUCUCUCUCUCUCUCUCUCUCUCUCACUCUCAUUCUCUUUCUCUCUCUCUUUUGCCUUCUGGGCUAUUUUUACUAUUUUAUUUUAUAUUUGGCAUUAUAAAUGUGUUUUGUAAUGGGAAGGCAAGGUAAGAAACAAGCAAUUGUUUAGAAAAACAGAAAAGUUAAAAAAAAAAGAGAAUACAGCCUCACAUACCAUAUCUAUUUAUGUGUAUACAUAUACAUGAGAGUAUACUUAUGUAUGUAAGUAAUAUCAGGUAUUUUUCAUUACUCUGUUCUCCAAAAAACAUUAUUUAGUAAAAGAUAAUAAACAGCUCUUGAACAGUGGGAUAUAGACUAGUGAAAACAGUUUACUGAAAUUAAUGAUGCUGGAUUGAACCAAACCUUCCUCCCUUUGGAAUUAGUGCCAGACAUAGUUUUCCUGAACCCUGUCCAACUGCCUGAGCGACAGACAAUUUUCAUUCUAUUUGUGCUAAAGGCUUAUGACUAGUGCUGGAAAAUGAAGCCCUUGCCCUUGAUCUCAGUGCAGAUUAAAAAAAAAAAAAAAAAAAAAGCAGAACUGUGCCAAUUUGUUUCCUCUGCCAGUAGAAGACCUUGUGCUCUGGGUAAUGCAAAACAAUAAAAAGUUCACAUGAAGACUCUCCACUGAAAGGAAACCCACCAAGAGCCAUGUAUCUCUGCUAUACUCAUCAGCCAGCUUCCGAGAUUCUCACAAUGUCAUCAAAAUGCAGAGGGUGCAGUCACCAAUUCAUCUGUCAUAUUGUGGUUUUCAAAGCUGAACUGAGAAUGCUCUGAAAGGAAUUCGAAGUUGAAGAGCUGCAGGAAGACCUAGGUAGGGAAUUACAUUUUCAUUGUGGCUAACUUUCAAUGACACUGAAGAUGUCUCACUCGGAAGAUCAUCAGACCCACACCUCCUCUUCUACUUCAACAGACAACGCUUCAUUCAUUUGAUGUAGAAACUCUGAAGAAAGUAAUUUUCAUUUUGAAAUAAGUGUGAAUUCUUUUUAUCUUGAGAUUUAACAACUGUUGACAAUGCU